CAUGGAUUAUGCUUGGCUUUACCAUCAGUGCAUCCAGCUUGUACCUGUCCUCUGCUCUUCUUGUUCGAAAAUCAGAAGAAGCUGGGUCACUCACUUCUUUGGUGGAAGAUCCAAGCUCGCUGUGCCAGAAGAAUAUUCAAGCCAGACAAAGAAGUGAAAUAAACAUUGACGAAGGAAAU